AAGAUCCUGGGAGGCACUCUCCCAUUCAGUUACCCUUACUAUCGGUUCCUAGGUGCAGCCCCGGCGGCCGUCGCCUGAACGGCGCGGACGCGUGCUUCUCCCCAGGGAGGGCCAUGCCGCUGCAGAUGAAACUGAAUCCCCUUCCGAGCCGGCGGACAUGACAUGGUUGGUUUCACGGGAUUGACUCGGCUACCUACAGAAGUGCCACAAAUCUGAACCAAGCUGUUGCGUCAAGGCUACAUCAUCAGGAUUCACACCUCGCCAGAUCCGAGACUGCUGUUUGGAAGGGAUCCAUUAGUUGUCGCCGCUGUUCAAGUUAGAUGUAACACAAUCUGUAAAGCUCCAUUAUUGCAAUUCAAAGACUCCAUCAUGGAGUAAUUUUUGCUGUAGCUUCUAGGUUAAUUUUUUAUGUGGUCGGCAUAACACCUAAUUCAUAAUGAAGUAAUUUUAAAUAAGUUAUAAGGUUUAAGAGAAAUCUUAUACCAAUAAAGAAAAUAAUCAGGUUGGUCAA